UCUAGGAGUGCUAGCUCGCGAAGACAUCAUGCUUUGGCUUAUCAACGAAGAACAUGAUGAAGAUGAAGAAUAAAGAGACCCUCUCAUUUUCUUUCUAGAUUCAUGCAUCAGAUCUCUACAAUAGAGAUCAAGAGAAGAAUCCUUUCUUCUCAAUUUUCUCACACAUAAGAGAGAACAUUUCUCUCUUCCUUUCACGCCCAUAAGAAGAACUUUUCUUUUCUGAUUUUUCAUGAUGAAAAUCAGAUCUAAUCUGAUUUCUUAUGCUAAAAAUCAUAUGAAUUUCUGAGUCCUAGAAAAAUUCAAAAGAGAGACUCAAGAGAAGAACCGUUCUUCUUUCUUCUUCUCUCCUUUUCUCUUUGAUCUAGAACUCUAAGAAGUCCCAAACACCCAACCAGAUUUUUGUGAUAUUUUUUCUUUUAAUUUUUAUAUUAAAAAUCAGAUCUAAUUUGAUUUUUAUUCUAGAAAAAAAAUCUGUGAGAAGAACUCCUUAAAGAAGAUUCUUCUUCUUCCUUCUCUUCCUCUCUUUGGAAAGAAUUUUUCUUCUCUAAUUUUUUGUUGUAUAACCAGCAGAGGAGCCUCUCUUUGAUGCCCAAAAACCAAUAAGGAAGUCUCUCAAAAUUUCUUCAAGAAAGGAAGAGAAGAAAAGAGACAAGAUAUAUGAG
rnacentral:lncRNA from 1 species